ensembl:lncRNA
ACGGCCCCUCCCGCCGCGGCCCCUCCCGCCGCUCCUUGGGCGGGCUCCGCGCUGCAGGCCAGCCCCAGGCUAGGGCCCGCCGCUUCCCCACCAGCCCGGCCUUCUCCGGGGUCUCCAGCCUGGCCGGGGCCCAGCCCGGCCUUGGCCUGGUCCCAAAUUAUUUAGGCAGAACAAACGCCUGGGAGGGGCGUCCCUGCAAGGAUAGAGAGAGGCUGCUGCCAUCACUGAGGGGGCCCGAUACUGGAGUCUGGUGGUGUGAGCACACAACCAGCCCGGCUCUGGGAUUUUAUCCUUCCUAAUCCCAUGUAAUUGUAAUGCCUGGGAAAAGAAGGAACAACCUCUGCAGUGUUAGAUUCGGCAGAGAGGAAAGAGACCAGCUCCCUCCCUGUGCGGCUGUUGCUGAGGAGGGUUCCCCUUCUGACAGCCUGAGGCCAAGAGAAGUCAGUUUCCACAGGAAACACAGCUCUGCUCUGUCUGAGAAUUCACCUCUCCUGUUUCCAUGCUCCCUGUAAGACAGUCCUGCCCUCUGAGGCUCAGGAAGUGCCCCAGACCCCCACACAGCACUUUGCUAGAGGGGUAGAUGGAUAUCUGGAAUCAGGUGGCCACUGUGCUAUCCACAGACUUCUCAUUAAUGAAUCAAAGGAUUAAAUGUAGAGCUGAAGCUGCUGAAAGGUGACAAAUCAAGGUCAAGGGAUAGAUGCUCCCCUUCAGCACAGCACGACCAAGAACACAGGAAAACGUUAGGGUCAGCAGCAAAGGAUGUGCUUAAAAGACCACAUGGUUUUCUCUCAAGCACAGUAAAACUCCUCACCAGGAAUGAGCUGCUCAGCCUUUUUCCAUGAGUCAGUCCAAACCCAUCACACCUAUUCAUUCUUCAGGAUCAGCUUGGCAUCACACAGGAGAGCACUUCCCCCGGAAUCCAUCCUCUGCGGAUGCACCAGGCACAAAGCUCCACGGACCACUCUUCACACAGGUGUAAGUAAAUCCUGCAGGGAGCCUUUAACCACCUCAACAGCAGCUCCCAGCUUUGAGGGAUCCAAAAAUGCUGCUGCUGUGGGGGCAUUAGGAGCUACAUCAGCUCCUGGGCCGUGGGCUGUGCCUGUCCUGAUCCCAGUCCUGGUGUUUCACUGGGACUCAGCUGGGUGCACAGUGGGCUGCAUCAAGGAGUUAAACCUUCAAAACAAAGAUUUGGAGGCAAACAAGCUGUGCCAAGGAGUUAGAUCUUCAAAACAAUGCAGGUUUGAAUAUGAGAGCUGUUCCAUGAAUUUAGCCUUAAUUACAUCCUGUAGAGCUAUAACCAGCUACCACACUGUAAAGCAGGUGAAAACCCCCACUUUUAUUUCUUUAUGGUAUCACAGGUGGAACAGCUUAAGUUGGAGUGUCCUUAACAACAACAGCAACAGCAAAGAAAUACAAGGAUGGCUUGAAAGUAGCUUUAUUUAGUAAUGCUGAGUCUGUACAGAGCUAGGGAGAUUCCUGCUGCAGUACAGCAGCUGUACUCCUCACUGUCUUCCCAAAUGGCUGCUUGGUUUGCCAAACCCAUUUCUCUUCAAAAUGUUAAUAGAUGACAUUAAUUAAAACACGAGCCAAGCCUAAAGUAAAGGUUUUUUCUAAUCAAAGUACUUCUAAAUGAUUACUCUCUUGGCCUCUGCGAUGUUGGCACCUGACAGGUCACUCAGGGUUUACCCUGUACCAGCCAUAAAUUAUUUCAUCUAUUAAAAAUAGAUUCCCAUCCCUCCAUCCUGCGAGGGGCUGAAUCAGCAGGGAGCUGCACCCACAGUAGCACAGCCCAGGAAUUUUUGUCUUUAGGGUUGGCAUGAUGGUUCCUUCCCUCACAGGACAGCUGCUGAAGGAUUGAGGUGAGUUUGGUCACCCACAGGUUGCUGACACAGGUGCCAUCUCCAGAGUGAGCAAGGAAGCAGUGCCAGAGCAGGGAGUGGAGGGUCAGGAGCUCUGUCCCCAAAGUCAGUGUCCUUUUAGCUCGCUGGGACAGACAGAAAUAGGCCUGAAAGCACAUUCCCCAAGCGGCCUAAUUUCCCUGCCCUCACACAAUGUUCUCUUUCCUCCUCAGCACCAGGGUAUUUGUUUUAUUUUAGGAUUUAGGAGCUUACAACCUUUAUCGAAGGAUAAAGGUGCUCAACAAUUGACUGUAAUUUUUUUUUGGUUUUGGCUUAAGUAUUGCAAUUAAAGAGCAAAAGCCAGGCCAGUGUAACAAAGCAAGGCAGGUUAAACAUCCCCACCACACAAGUCUCACCCAGAAAACAGCAGAACAGCCCCCAAACAAAUAAUCCUCUCAUUCCUGCUGUCAGCUUCCCUUCUUUAAGUACUUGAAAGUUCCUCCCUGAACCAGGCUGUUGUGUUCAAGUAGAAAAAGGUCAGGGUGACACAGAAAGGGUUUAACUUCCUCCCCAGCACUGAAUCUCUGACCUGGAUGACAUUCAAGGUUGUCAAGGAAGCAGUUACAAACAACUAUAUUUAGGAAAUGAAAACACCUAUUUCCUCUCUCCUCUGCUCAGAGGCCAACACUCACCUGCAGUGUUUGCAGGGAGCUGUGACAAGAAGCUUAAUGGAAAGGAAGCAAAAAAAACCCCAACCCCCUUCUUUUCACUGGUUUAGUAGGUCUUAUGGAGGAAGAAGAUGGGUAGAGAUAAAAAGACUAAGCCUAAGUAGAGCACAGGACCAGCUUAACAGGCUCAGAAUAAACCUCCCUCCUGCUGUUAUUUAACA